AUAAAAUAAAGGCUCAGCUUGCCAUCUGGAUCUUUCUCUGUGGCCUCAGCCAGGCACAGGAGAUCCACCUAGACCCAGCUUAUUCUCUUUGUCUGUCUUUUCUUCAUCAUUCGCCAGCCCUCCCUCAGGCUUGCCGAACCCUUGGCUGAGCUGGCCCAGCACAGAUAGGUAUUUGGAGCUUUA